UGUAUAAUGGGUCAGCGACUUAUAUUCUGUAGCAAGGUUAACCGAAUAGGGGAGCCGAAGGGAAACCGAGUCUUAACUGGGCGUUAAGUUGCAGGGUAUAGACCCGAAACCCGGUGAUCUAGCCAUGGGCAGGUUGAAGGUUGGGUAACACUAACUGGAGGACCGAACCGACUAAUGUUGAAAAAUUAGCGGAUGACUUGUGGCUGGGGGUGAAAGGCCAAUCAAACCGGGAGAUAGCUGGUUCUCCCCGAAAGCUAUUUAGGUAGCGCCUCGUGAAUUCAUCUCCGGGGGUAGAGCACUGUUUCGGCAAGGGGGUCAUCCCGACUUACCAACCCGAUGCAAACUGCGAAUACCGGAGAAUGUUAUCACGGGAGACACACGGCGGGUGCUAACGUCCGUCGUGAAGAGGGAAACAACCCAGACCGCCAGCUAAGGUCCCAAAGUCAUGGUUAAGUGGGAAACGAUGUGGGAAGGCCCAGACAGCCAGGAUGUUGGCUUAGAAGCAGCCAUCAUUUAAAGAAAGCGUAAUAGCUCACUGGUCGAGUCGGCCUGCGCGGAAGAUGUAACGGGGCUAAACCAUGCACCGAAGCUGCGGCAGCGACGCUUAUGCGUUGUUGGGUAGGGGAGCGUUCUGUAAGCCUGCGAAGGUGUGCUGUGAGGCAUGCUGGAGGUAUCAGAAGUGCGAAUGC
rnacentral:rRNA from 1 species